UCUGUUUCGUGAGGGCGGAUUCAGAUAAGCCAGAAAAAGUGAUCUAAUUGGAAACUCCGAUAACAUUCACUGAUCAAUCAAACUGCCACAUAAAAGGAAGGAAAUGUUUAUUCCUUUGAUUCCAAAUGACUCGUUACAAUCAUAGAGACUCAAAUGUGUAUGUUACGAUUAUUCUUUGUCCAGGAUAAACGCAACAGCUCAGCAAAAAAUCGAAAAAGUCUCCAAAGUAUAGUGGGAUAAUACAAGUCAAUGCUUAUCUAAUUUCAUGAUCGAACGGCCACACUGCAAAAAGCAUUGGACCUAGAGGAAGACUACGUGUUGUCAGCUUAUCAUCAAUGCAGAUUUAGGAUUCCUUUAUCUUUCGGAAACCUCAAAGGAUGACACCUUUUUUGAUGUUGAGUUUCAUUUCUCAAGACCCAAAAGGGCGAACAAAAAGAUGGAUGAGAUAAAAAUUACUACUAAUUUCAUCUAGCAUUUGGUGUAUGUAUGAUGCCAAUGAUAGCUUUUCUGUUGUGUUGUGUAAGGGUAUUUUCAGAAAUAAUAAUAAUAGAAAAAAAACAACUACCGUUAUUUAUCUCAUCUCUAUUCUAUUAUUUGAGAUCUACCAAAUAAAUAAAAUAAAGGGAUAUGAAUAAUUCAACGUAAUCAUUUUUCUUUUAUUAUAGUAAAUAUCCUUUUAAUUAAUCUAACGCUAACGCACCUGGUACAGGACAGAAUAACCAAAGUUUUAUUUAUUUGCUUCAUAAAAAAUACCAACAUUCUAGAACGACUUACCAAUUAUAUCCAUGAAAGGGAAACAAGUUCUAUUAUUUACAAUUCCCUUGAAAUAGCUCAAAUGUUGGACUUUAAUCUAAUUUUCACAGCCCAAGGAUAAUGCCAGAGCUUGUUUGCUUGUUUAAUUGAAUUGGACCAAACUUCAAGCACGCUUUUGAAAGCUGCUUUAACACAAAGCCCUUAAUUGGGCCUAAGUCACGGGCUCCAGUGAAAGGGAAAAACGUCUCCCAUCAAAUAUGAUGACCAAGGCAUUAGAGUUUAGGAAUACUUUUUCUACCAGAAAAGUGCUUUAGGCGCCGCAUGCUUGAAUAUAAAAAGGGAGUUGUUAGGGUAUUUUUUUUUGUUUUCUUCACCACUAACGCCCUUUGUUGCAACAUCCUUAACCCGAUUUCUUGAUAGUGGUGAGUGAUGAGUCUCAAGGACGAGUUGCCUCCUUCAAACCUCGCCGAGGUAUAUGCUUUCAUUGUACUAGUUUUUUUUAGUUUCAUCUUUCUUUAUACGAUCUUUCUAUUUAGCUUUGUCCAGAUAUAUAUUUUUUAAGCUUUAUCUCUCUUUAUACUUCAAUUUUGUAUUUUAGAUUUAGAUUCUUGUUUUAAAUUUGAUAUAAAUAUAUAUACUAAUUAUCCAAUCCUAAUCGUUUGUAUAUUUUUUAUUUUUAUGAUUGUUGUAAGUCAAUGAUAAUAUGAUUACAAUUUUUGUUAGUAACAAAUAUUUUCUUUUUUGAAAUUUUUAGGGUACCAUUAAAGAGUUGGUUUAUUCACGAUUUGGUAGAAUUAAUUGAUAAACUCUUCAAUUUUAUAAAAUUUGUAACUUUUAUUUUAUUUCUAACUUUUUAAUAGAAUUCAACAUUUGUUAUUUUUUUACAGGAUAAGCUGAGCGGAUGUUCUUCCAAUCCUCCAUCCUUAAUUAAACAAAAUAUUUUGAAUUUUAAAAAAGAUGUAGAAGCAAUAACUUGGAAUUGAAUGGUUUUUAUUACUCAUACUUUGGCUGCAUUCAGUCUUAUUUGCAACAACUUGGAAGGGUAUAGUCGAUGCUCGAUUAAUCAUCUGUCACGUUAUUUCUAUUGUCAGUCUUUGGGGAACUAGUUUUUUGGGAUUAAAUGAUUUAAGUGGAUGGUGGUUACUUGUCUUUCUCGAGAAGGAAUCUUUGAAUGGAGAUGAAGAGGACAUAGAAAUUGCAGCUCCAAUCUGGUUUCCUAUCAUUCCCGGUGCAGCAUGUUGUUUAUUUUUGCUUUUAGCUAGAAUAAUCUGUUGGCCCAUUAAUAACUAUGUGGUGAAGCCUAAAUCUGAAGAUUUACCUACGCUCGUAGGUCUCUACUGGCUUGGUUUUAGCCUUUUGAUCCUCUUGGCUUUUGUUUUUGCCUUUGUCACGAUAAUCAGUUGUGCAACUGCAGCAGCUACUCCGACUUCAGAUCUCGAGAUGAGUGUUGAUCAACCUGCUUCUUGUACCGGUACAAACCAUGGAAGAGAAAGGAAAAUGAAAAGAUUCAAUAUUCUUAAAAUUAAUUAUGGGCUACUUGUACGAGUUUUGUUAUUGUUUUGUCUCUUGCCAUUUAGAAAUCGAUCUUAAAGAGUUAUUUACUUCAGUUUUUAUGUGGAUCAUAACUUUAUAUUAUUGUCUUUAUUAGUUUGUUAUUUAUAGGCAGUAAUGAGUCAAACUUGCUUAGAAUAAUUUUGUGAAAUACUUUUGUGUUAAUUAAUAGUUACUAAUUUUUUGCUCUUGUUUGGUAAAAAAGCUUGUAAAAUUGUCUUUAAUAUUCAGUACAAAUCUAUAAAGAAUAGAUUAAAAAUAAUAUUCAGAAUAUCUUCUAAACCUUUUUUUAAACAGAGUCUCUAACUUUAACACUUCGAAUUUUCAAUUAGUUCUAUCAAUUUUAUUUUAUUUUUUGAAAGAGUUUUAUCAAUUUUAUUAUAUAAUGUGACGAUGCUCGUGAAAUUCUUGUCCUCGCCCAUUAACAAUAUAAAAGUUGGAGUUGCCCACUAACAACUCUAUGGUCUAGUGUGCCCUGACCGGCUGACCCAACUCAGGCUAUUUCCUUGAAUGAGCUCAUUCCUGGGUAUUACCUAACUCAAGCUAUUGCCCUGACAGGCUGACCAAUUCAGGCCCCAACCUUUCUAAGAAAGAAACGCGGGACCCCAAAUUUUUUAGGCUCAAUUAGCGUGAUAGGAACAUUGUGUUCAAGGCACACUUGCAUCCUAUAUAAUUAGGAUUAAAAAACUUUUAUAAUUGCAUUAGUUAAAUAUUAUUUAAAAGAUUAAUCAGAUGAAUCAAAAUUUGAAUAUUAAUUAUUUAACUGGUUAAUCGAAUUAGAUUGUUUAAUUCGAUUACUAAUUGAAUUAACUAAAUUUUUUGGACUCAAGUCCAUUUUUUUAUAUAUAUAUUCUUUCUAUACCAGUUACAAAAUAAAUACAGUUACAUUAUGAAAUUUUAACAACACCCUAAACCAUAUAAUAUUAAAAUAUGCUAACAAACAUGAUUAAAAAUAUUAAAAUGUUUUAACAAGUAUGAAAAAAAGUUAUCCAUCCAGAUUCAAUUAUCCAACGCGCCAAAACAAGCCUAAUUGUUAGUUUUCGAACUCAUUGGUUUUUUCUGUUUUGCACAUUUCUAAGAUUUGGGCUGAUGAAUCCAGCACAAGACGUGACAAAUAAAUAUGCUUGGAUUGCUUUUUAGCCACGGUUUGCUACUAGUGGAAGGUGAUAGUUCACAUGUUUUUAAGCUUUUCCUAUAGCCCACAGUUACCAUACGACUUCGUGUCUCCCAUUCAUUUCAUGUCAAACAGGACCACCAUGGCAGUUGGCAACUAGUACUAAAUGUUUCCAUAUUUCUAGUACUUUUUUUGUCUCUUUGCUUAAUAAUUGAAAUAUCCUUAGCGCGUUCACAUGUACAGGGAAAUUAGGGGAGAGCGGAAAAUAAAUCUGACUUCAUGUCCGCUUCAUGCAUUAACCUUUCCAGAAGAUUUAAUUUUCCAUUCAUUAUAGUAGAAGUUUUGGCGUACUCAAUUUCUUCGCCAUUACCUCAGCAUCAAUUUUCUUUUCCAGACAUCAAGUAGAUGAUGCAAAUUUGAACUUUUGUUAUACUAUUUUAAGUGCAUAAUUCUAUAGAAUUAUUAAACUGAAGGGAGAGACUCUUCAAAUCUGAUUUUUCAUUUGUAAACUAUCUUGUUUCUAGAAGAAAAAAAUUUGUCUUCAACUGAGGCAACGUUGUCGUUGGUAUUGUAAUUUAAAGUACUGGCAAAAUCCCUUCCAAACAAAUUGGAAGCAAGAUCAUUUGUUCAAAUAUGUCAUUUGAGCUAAUAUUAAUGUUAAUGAUUAAAGGAAAUGAACUGAAAUUUGAGGGCAUCUUAUCAUUUCCAAGAUCUUUUUCAUAUAUGCUUAUGUAAGAAAAUCAAAUAACAAUAACCCAAUGCAAAAUGACACCGUAAAAAAGGAUCGGGAGGUCAAAACCUGCUGAAAAGAAUCCUAUUCAGCUUCAUCGGAAUUCAUAUCAGAGUGAAAGAAUCAAGAACCAUGGAGUAACAGCCAAAAGAUCCGCUAAAAAACUACUCUUAUUUCACGGGGUUUGAGGUGCAUCUUCCUGAAAUGUGCCUUUUUAAUCAGCGACCUCCCAAAAAAGUCAGUGACUUGUCGCCAGCUUGACAGCUUGUGGUCGUGGGGUAAAAGAUUCUGAAACGCCGACGGUUCGCUGAGUCAGCAUGUGAGAGAAGAUCCAAAUUUCCAAAUGGAUAAGCCAUUGGAAGCAAUUUGUUAAACCAAUCGAGCUAACCCUGGUUAACCAAUUAUCUAUAAAUAUCCUUACCCAUCUGGCUACUUCUCCAACACAAAGUAAACACAACAACAAACAAUUAACGGUCUUUGGCACAUCAGAACAAUGGCUUCCACAUCUUCUGCAUUCGCCUGUUUCGGCUCCUCCUCUGCUCAUUUCAUGGGCCACAAAGUUUCAAUCAAGGAACCCAGUUCCGUGCCGACAAGUGUCCAAUUCCGGCCACUCCGUGUCUCCGCCGCCUGCGCAUCGGCGGCUGAGAGACCGGUUUCCCACAUUGCUUCUCCAGCGUCACUGUACGAGGUCUUGGGGAUCCAGAUGGGCACCACUUGUCAGGAAAUCAAGGCUGCUUAUCGGAGACUGGCGCGAGUCCUGCAUCCCGACGCCUCAUCUAGCGGUCAAAAUAACGCCACCGCACACGAGUUCAUCAAAGUACAUGAAGCUUACGCCACGCUUUCUGAUCCCGAGAAACGUGCCGAUUAUGAUCGGACGUUGUUGUUCAGACCGAGACGAUCCUUUGCCGUGUCAGCGUCUGCCGCAUCUAUGGCCAGCCCCACGUCUUCUGGAUUUUCUGGUUACACGCGGGGAAGCUGGGAAACUGAUCAAUGUUGGUGACACUUUGGACAAAUCACGAAGUUCAGGACUGGAUUUUUCAGUUGUGUAGAUUUCAGAGUGAUGAAUGGAAACUUCGCCCCCUGAUUUUUAUUGUUUUGGGCCUUCUGGUUUUUGGGGAAAACUGAUAACUGCUAAUACCCCGUCUGUAAAUAGAAAAAGAUUUGACCUAAAACAGGCAGCUUUUUUAUAGUCUGAGUGUAUAAAGUUUGGAUUUUCUUAUAUCAUUCAUGGAUUCAGUGUUCUGUUUCUUUAGUUUUAUGGUUUCAAUGUCAGAAAACUUAGGAUUGAAUAAUAAAUACUACCAAUCUCAAUCUGUUAGUUAAAACUGAGUUGCAUAGAUCCCACUCAGAUUAGGCUGGGGAUUUUUAUUAGGCAAAUGCAAAGUUUUCAAGACGUUGAGACCAGACAUCAAGUUGAAUAUCAGUUUCAUAGUCCGAUCGCAGACUUCAAAUGUAACUAAAAGGGGUGAUAUAUUGUUACUUCACUCAUCGUUUCAUAAUGGUUUGCAUGUGCAGGAUGGAAUUUAUGGAUAAGAGCUACGGAAUUAGGCCAAACUUAUUGCAAUUAUUGGCCUGCCAACGGGAAAAUUUCAGGAGUUGGGACAAAAAAACCAGGACGAAGAAGAAAACACAGCUCCUCUGCACUGUUUCGUGAGGGCAGAUUUAGAUAAGUCGGAAAAAGUGAUCUAAUUGGAAACUCCGAUAACAUUCACUGAUCAAUCAAACUGCUACAUAACAGGAAGGAAAUGUUUAUUCCUUUGAUUCCAAAUGACUCGUUACAAUCAUAGAGACUCGAAUGUGUAUGUUACGAUUAUUCUUUGUCCAGGAUAAAUGCAACAGCUCAGCAAAAAGCCGAAAAGGUCUUAAAAAAAUAGUAGGAUAAUACAAGUCAAUGCUUAUCUAAUUUCAUGAUCCAACGUUAACACCGCAAAAAACAUUCGACCUACACUUGCUGAUUCCUUUAUCUUCCGGAAACCUCAAAGGAUGACACUUUUUUUAUGUUGAGUUUCAUUCCUCAAAACCCAAAAAGCCGAACAAUAAGAUGGGUGAGAUUAAAAUUACUACUAAUUUCAUCUAGCAUUCAGUGUAUGUAUGAUGCCAAUGAUAGCUUUUCUGUUGUGUUGUGUAAGAGCAUUUUCAGCAAUAAUAAUAAUACAAAAA
rnacentral:lncRNA from 1 species